rnacentral:miRNA from 12 species
GGGGGGGGGGGGGGGGGGGGGGGGGGGGGGGGGGGGGGGGGGGGGGGGGGGCCGCCUGGCUGGCCUGUCCUGCCGCC